ensembl:lncRNA
GCCUUCUGUCCUUGUCUCUCUAUGCAGCAGAUGCUCUCACUGUUUACUGUAGGCACCAGCCACAGGGAACAAAAACCUGCCUAGAUCCUUGGUUCUUCUUGCGCUCUGUAACAGAGAGGGAACUUUCACUCUUGGUAUAGGAGCUUUUUGUUAUUGUUUUGCUGGAAAAGCAUUCGUUAGAUCCCUAAAUAUAGGCGGUUAUUUAUCUGCAUGGAGUCAGGACCAUGUGGUCUCAGCUUCACAUGCAAAUUCCCUUUUUAAUAAUCCUAAUGCGGGGAGCCCUCCAAUCAGAGCACUAUCAGCCACAGGCUUCCUGAUACCUGAUGCCAGCUUUGCUGGUAAUGUAGGCCACUGAAGCAAAUCCAGGGAGAUUGACUUGGAAGUGAAGAGAGAAGAGGAGAUCUGCCUGCUUGGCUUCCUGAAACAGGGGGGUUCUAUUUUUUUUUCUCCCUUUGCUUGGGACUCAAAAGGGGACAGAAUUUCCACACGAUCAUUUACGGAGAGCAGCCCAGCAGGGUCAAGGCUGGGAGGAGUGGACACAGCCACAAGCAGCGAAGCCAGGUGGAGGCACGAAGGCAGAAGAGCGGGUGGACGAAAGCAUGAGGUGGCUCCUGGGCAGCAGCUGGAGGAAAUUUGGACACGCUGACAGGGGGAACUAUGACUGGCUGAACACUGAACCAGGUGGGCCACUUCUGGAAACAGAGCUCCAGAGUAGACAACAGACAAGUUCAACCAAAGAUGACAUAGAGCCAUUUCUGUGCAUCAUUUUGCCUGCUACCAUGAUGCUCUUCCUGGCAUUCCUGCUGCUCUUCCUGUACCGCCGCUGCCAGCGCCCCAUCCCACAAGGGCAGAUCUUCAGCAUUGACCUCCCUGAGGCCCUGCCUGAGCACGACGUGUCCAAUUUCCUUUCUGUGCUGCCCUGGAACAGCGAGCAGAGUUUUCACUACUCCACUCUCCUCCCAGAUGCCACAUUCCUCUCCAUGUGUUUGCCUCCAUCCUAUGAGGAGGCCACUACAAAGACUGCCCUGGAUGAGGCUCACAUUGAGCUCUCUCCAGACCCAGUGCCUCCUUACGAAGAGAGCACACUGCCAUCCAGCAGCACCAAAUAAGCUUCCUACGGAAGUAACUUAGCUGAAGCAUGCUGCCCCUCAAGGCGCAAAUACAGAUCUGCUAUGGCCUUUAAAAUUAGCACAAAUAAUAUAAAUGAGGUAAAAGCAAUGAACUGUGAAGAAGCAAACUUAAAGUAACAAGGAAUUAGAAUAUCCUAGAACAAGGUGAAUAGUAUCUUCCACCUGUAGCAAGGCUAAACACCACAUCAGUUCUAGACUGGUAAUGGGGAAAUCUGAGGGAAUGGAGUAUGUUGUACAAGGAUUAGACUUACAGACAGAUGAGAAUCUGCCCAUCUGCAGUCCCAAAGAAACAUAACACUGAUGGCUGGACUUGAUGAUCUUGAAGAUCUUUUUCAGCCUAGAUGACUCUAUGAUAAAUUACACUACAGAUUUACCAGUUGCAAAAAGGGCUUUUAGCAUGAGUCUAUGCCAGUUUGGCUUUUUCUACUUUAUGUGUUUAUUUUUCAUUGAGUUCCUGAAAAGUUGAUUUAUUUAGUCAGCAUGUCCUAACAUCGCAUCAUUCUUCAGUGCUCUGGAACAAUCGAUCACAGCACUCAGGAAAGGAAAUAAAUUCUAAGGAAGUUUUCCAGCUGUCCCCAAAGGUACAACCAUGCACCGUUCCUGAAGGCUGACUUCUACCACGAUUGAACAGUGAGAGCAACCAGAGAAGACCAGAUCAUUCUGGGUGAGGGAGACUCCAGCACCAUCACACACAAACACACGCACUUGCUACAAGACAAGGCCUACAAAAUCCCAAAUUUCUAUGCUACUGGCUUGACUUAUUUUCCAACGUACAGAUCUAAAAACAAUAAAUUCUGUGACCUUUCAGGUACCAUGUGUUAAAAAAUUAUGGGGAAAAAAAAAUCAAGUGUACAAAGAAAAAAAUCUGGUUGGUAUUUCAAAACAGCAUUGCAGUCACUUAGCCACUAGAGAGAAGUAAAUACCAUUUAAAUGUGUUUGUGCGUGUGGUUCCCAGGAGGGCUUGCACAUGCUUGCUUUUAGAGUGACUUAUCUUUAAUUCCUUCUUACAGAACAGCACUUUCACCAUGCUGACAGAUGCUCUUGUUGACUGAUAAAAUUCAGCCUUCGCUGUUUCAAAUGUAGCAUAUUUUGCCUUAAAAUAUCUGCUAUGUUCUGAAAUCAGUUACUCUGUUCUUCAGGAGUUUAUCCUUGCCAAUUUAGUGCCUGAAAGCUACCCUGGGCUCAACAUUCUAAGCUGCUCUCCUGUUAUCCUCAUUACAAGUCAGAUAAAUUCUUAAAUGAUAUUUCUGGUGAUCAAAACUGAUGUUCUAGUUCUAGAACUAGCCAAGAAUUGCUAUUCCCUCCAAGAACACUGAAUGAUCAUCUCUCACAUAGUAUUUACCGGGUAACUCAAAUCCUGCCUUAGAAAAAUAGUUUGUUUGCAUUACUAUAAAUAAAUUAAGAACAGAUAAUUGCUCACAUUCAGAUUAACAAUAAUAUAUGUCCCAUUACUUCAGUUCCUUUUUCUAAUAGACCACUUUUAAUUUCAUCUAGAAUUAGUGUCUCGUAACUCAUUCCAACACCAUUUUGUCUGGUCUUGCAUGUUAAUUGUCCCUAGUGAGUUUUAACCUACCCAGCAUCUCAUUCUUAAAUCUCCACUGCAAAUCAAAGGUCCAGUGGAUAAAGGUCCAUAGUGUAGCAAUUGCUACUGAUAGUAUCAGCCCAUGACACACCCAGCAGUAACCAUAGUGUCAUCGUCAUUGCUACUGCUUGAUCACAUCCUCUGUCACAAACAUAGCUCACAGUCCGAAAGGAAUUCAUGCUCAGCUCCGCUAAUCUGAAAGUGAAAGGCUUGCAGCCCACCAUCUAGAAUAGAGUCAUUGAGGUUUCAGCAUUAGACAAGAUGACUGGAACAUUAGAUUUUCAAGUACAGAAAAAGUAACUGCAAACAGAACAAAAUGACCCUUCACACAUCAUGCCUAUAGCAGCCUGGACUGGUGCCAGAAAGCUCAAGUUGCAAGAGAAAAUUCUAAAAGGGAACUACAGUCUAAAAGAGCAGUGAAGCACUGGGAGCAUUAUCACUGGUCACAGUAAGAAGUUGAACAAUCAUCUGUCAGCAGUGAAGGAUGCUAGUUGGAGCAAGGAAUACUUAGAUGUCUUCCCUGGGCCCUUCCCUGCUCCUACAUCAUAAGGCUGUGUAAAAAUAAAGUCCAUUCAUUGUUUCUAAGUUUUAAAAGAAAAUAAAUGUCUCUUUGAAAACCUGACGCCAUGAAUUUUCACAUUCGUAUAUAGAUCACCGUAAGUCUGUACUAUAUAACCGCAAGGUGCUUAUAAUUUUUUUUGUUUGUUUGUUUAAAUCCAAUGAAGAUUAGAACUUAUUGAAAUAUCAAAA